rnacentral:lncRNA from 1 species
CGCACUGCAAGAAUCUUCCUAUUCACAGUUGUGGAGUUUGAUAAUCCGUGCUUCGUGCUCUUCCAAUCUUCCCAAUGAAGUUCCUGUUAUUCCUUGUGUUGAUUUGUGUCUCUACUAUCCUGGUCUUUUGUUGAGAUGUUACUCUGGGGGAAUCAUAGAUUGUUAUAACCUUAUAUCCAGAAGAAGAGGACUCAAUUUGUAAACCUCCUUACUUUUUAUUCAUUGGUAGGUGUCAUGAUUAUCCUCUGGAAUUUUAUAAGGUACAUUCAUGAUUUCUUAGAUGAUAUGCCAAGGAUUCUGGGAACUUGCCUGUAUUAAUAAAAUGAGAUAUUUUUGGAUCUUCUACUAUUCAGACUUCUCCAACUAUCUUCAAUUUUAUUUUCUCUAGCUCCUUACCCUGAUAUCUGUAUCCUUCAUCUAUAACUUUCAUCUUAUU